rnacentral:rRNA from 1 species
GCUGGCGGCGCGCUUACACAUGCAAGUCGAGCGAGAAAGUGGAGCAAUCCAUGAGUACAGCGGCGUACGGGUGAGUAACACGUGGGUGAUCUACCUCUUAGUGGGGAAUAACCCUGGGAAACCGGGGCUAAUACCGCAUAAUCCUGUGAAGGGAAAGCAGCAAUGCGCUGAGAGAGGAGCCCGCGGCCGAUUAGCUAGUUGGUGAGGUAACGGCCCACCAAGGCGACGAUCGGUAGCCGGCCUGAGAGGGCACACGGCCACACUGGCACUGAAACACGGGCCAGACUCCUACGGGAGGCAGCAGUGGGGAAUCUUGCACAAUGGAGGCAACUCUGAUGCAGCGACGCCGCGUGAGCGAUGAAGCCCUUCGGGGUGUAAAGCUCUUUCGGCAGGGACGAUAAUGACGGUACCUGAAGAAGAAGCUGCGGCUAACUACGUGCCAGCAGCCGCGGUAAUACGUANGCAGCGAGCGUUGUUCG